rnacentral:lncRNA from 1 species
AAAAUCAUUAACCAUAACUGCACAGUGCUCCCAGAUAGUAGUAGUGUCCCGCAGCUGAAAACAAGACAACAUAAAUUCAUUGGAGAAAUACUAAAUCGAAGAGGGAUAACAUUCUUAUUAUCAUGCUUUUUAAUCGAAACAAUAGAGGCUGUGGGACAGCGUCCGGACCGGACCGGAAACGAGUCGCUGGAAUUGAGGGCAAGGGAAGGAAAAGAGCACGGCGCAUCUCCGCGAAAUUUCGAAUUCGGUGCACAGUUUCCCGAUGCUCGUUCUCAAUGGGAAUAGUCACGAGCGGAACGAGAUACGCGAUCGUUGAACGAACUUGACUAAUUGCCGGCUGGAAACUGUUAUUCAACGGAGACCGAGCGGUGCGCCUGACGCACCGCACGAACAAAGGAACCUGCUUUUUCCGCGGUAAUUGGAGGAUCCCUGCUUUGAGAACAUUUAAAAUGCCCAAGGAGUUCAAGCACGGUUCGACCAAGGCAACGCAACACCACCGCGUGUCCAUCGUCAGAGGACAAAAAUUGGUGCAAUUUGGAUGGCACGUUCUACUCCAUCUACCAUAUUCUCCUGAUCUUGCACGCUCAGAUCAUCGCUUAUUUCGCUCGUUAGAAAAAUACUUCAUAUAAUGAGAACUUGCCUUCUUUGGAAGAUUGCAAAAACGAAUUGGUACGUUUCUUUUCCUCGCAAGACUAAGCAAUUCUACGCCGAUGGAAUAAUGAAGUUGUUAUAAUAAUGGCGAAAAGUCAUGGAAAGGAACGAUGCGUACAUUGAAGGAAAAAUCACACGCUUCAGUUUGGCUGUAAAAACGGAACGAAUUAACAAUUAACAUUCCGGAAUUAACAAUUGGAGCUAGACGAGAGUUAAGGAUACUUCAAAGUUGCUUAUGCCUAGUCACGUUCUUAUCACGCUUGCUGAAGAGCGUUAGACGAACUGGAAAUCACGGUACACGGUUCCGUGGCGAUUAUUCAAAUUGUGCUUCUCGACGAGAUGAAUCACCUGCACUAGAAAUCCACGUGCCACGGACAAAGCAUUAAAACUGUGGAACAGAGGCAAGUGCAAAGAUCGAGCCAACGCUUUCCGGAGCGAAUUCUUCGACCCUUACGCAAAUUUCUGUUGUUAAACGAGCGUGGAGUGAAGAAAUUAUUUCGUGACUACUGGGACUGAUGAUUGUCCAGAUUUUUUCUCUAACGAUAGAGUGGCUAAUUCUUUUCUAUAGAAGAUUUUGGAAUUUUGUGGUCCUUUAUGUUAAUUCUCAUUGCUCUUGGCUAUGAAAGAUUCGUUGUUUCUUUUAUUUCGUAUUUUUCUGAUCUUUCUCACAUAAUUAAUUAUCAAUCGUUAAAUUAAUAUGACUAAUUUUGAAAAUUUAAUUAAUUUGCACUUUGUCUAAUUGUUCUCUGCAAGCUCUCUAGUUUUUAAUUUCUUCAAUGGGCCAUUCAUUGAUUUAGAGUUUUCCAUCUUCUGAUUUCAUAUUAAUUUUUCUUAUUUACAAUUUUCUUAAUUCCUUAUUCCCUAAUGUACAGUUUCCGUAAUUUGCUAGUCUUAAAUUUCUAGUUUUGUUAAUUCGUCAAUUUCGAAUUUCUUUUAUUACUUCCAUGCCGAGUUUCUAAUUUUCCUAAUUUUCUAAUGUCCAAUUUCUAUAACCCUUUAACUUUUCUAAUCUCCUAAUCCUGAAUUUUCUUUAUGCCUGAUUUUCAAUUUCCCUAAUUUUACAUAUCCUAAUUUCCAAUUGCUCUGAUUUCCAUUUUACUUAAUCAUGUAUGUCCCAAUUUCUUCAAUUUUCCAUUUUCUCAUGUCAACCUUCCAGUUUUCCCUUUCUUGAACUUCUAAUCUUCAUUUUCCCUGACUUUCCAUACCUCAAUUUCCAAUUACUCUUAAUUCUAUAUUACUUAACUAUAUAUAUUACCUAGCUAUACAAUUUCCCAUUUUUUCAUGUCAAUAUUUCCAGUUUUCCUUUUCCUCAAUUUCUAAUAUUCAUUUUCCCUCAAUUUCUAAUUACUCUGAUUUCCACAUCACUUAUUUAUAUGUUAUAUGCUGCAAUUCCCAAAUUUUAAUAAUUACCCUUUUAACAUAACAUGCAAUAAAAUCUUUACCAAUUCAC